AUGCCUUUGCAGUUCAUAAACGAGAUGACCAGGUUUUCAUGCUAACGUACGACACGUGCCUCCCUCAAACCUUGUCACCUCAGGGGCUCAUUGCCACAUUACUGUCUGAGG
ensembl:snoRNA